GUGGCCUGUACGGGGAAGCUCAGAACUCGUUGCAGUCAGGGCAGCUAGCUGGAUCAGCGGCAGCUGAUUUGGGUCCCUGAGCAGCUUACCAGAGCUGUGCAACCAGAGAAUUGUGAGGAUGAUGGUCCUGAACAUGCUCUUGUUGAUGUGGAGUAUACCAAUGAUAAGAAGCAAUGAAUUGCGUAUCUUGUAGGGAAUUGGUCCGGGGAUUUGGACAAGCUGCUGGGAGACCUACGACAUUCUAUCAUCCAUAUCAAUUCAACCCAUGUAGACGCCUCCCUAGCUUCUGGAUUGACCAGUUGGAUACUUCAAGCAAUGUCUCACAUCAACAAAUGGGCUGGAAUGGGGGGAGGAUUGCUUUGUGCUUGCUCCUUAUCAGUGGCCUCGCCUUCUGGUGCAUGUGUAACAUGAGAGCUCGACAGGCUAAGAAUCAGGCCUUGAUGGUGCAAGCAUUUGCAGCGGUGGAGAUGGGUCAAUCUCCUGAAGUGUGGCUUGGCAUGCUAGAGAAGUAAUCAGAGACGGAUAAGACACCUUGGACAUGUUACCAACCUAAGACAGGGACCAAACUGGAGCUGUUUGACUCCCGAUGACGGGUAAGGAACAUUGUCGCAAUGGGCAAACUAAGACAGGCAUUCUCUCUGCCAAAAUUUUAUAAAGAAGGAGGAAUUGUGGGAAGCGAGUGUGGCGGCUAGUUCAAAUGGCGCCUGGGACAGCUGCCAAGUUUUAUCACUAGCACUUGACUUCCUUGAACACCCCCAGAGAGCCACAUCUGCAGUAGAUACUGUGGAGACUCCCUGCCACGCACUAUCAGGCCAUCUGACGUGUAAUGUCAAAAUCCAAUUGAGAGUGCCUACGUGGCCGGCUCUGAGUGGUGCAAGCACAAAGAUUUAAUGGCGGUGGAGGAGAGGCUCGGGAGCUUUUGCUUAAUUGAAGGGUUCCUGAAUAAAUGGCUGCGAGAAGA